UUCUCUUUCUUUCCUUCCCUUCCCUUCCUAAACUCUUUCCUCCUUGCCCCAUUCCUCUUUCCUUUUUUCCUUUCCAUUCCUCCUUGUCCCAGUUCUUUCCUCCGUCCCCUUCCUUUCUUCUGCACUUUUUUCCUGUCUUUUCCUUCUUUUCUUUAUUUUCUCUCUUCUCUGCACCUUUUCUCCCUCUUCCAUUCAUCUUUUCUCCAUUUCCUCUCUUCUUUAUUAUUUUCUUGUAUUUUCCCUCCUGUCUAUAUUAUUUUCCUUUUCUAUACCCUUUUCUUCCUAUCUUCCCCUUUUUUCUUCAUUCCCUUCUUUUCUUACGUCCUUUCUUCCCUGUCCCAUCCUUCUUUCCUCCAUUCCCUCCCAUUUCCUCCUUCUCUGAUCCCUCACACAAGCUUCUCUCAUCUCCAUCAUCUGCCCUCAUUGUCCUAAGUAUUCCUUCCUUACCCAUUUUCUUUCCUCCUAAACCUUUUUCAUCCCUCUUUUCUUCCCUUCGUCAAUUAAUCAGUUCAACUUUUCCUUAGUUUUUUUUUUCCCUUCCCUACUGAUUUGUUUCCCCAUCGCCAAUUAGACACCACGGGAAAAAUACAUCGAGGGACACUUUUGUUCCCCAUCAGCAUCAGAGGAAGGAAGUAAAUACCACUGAUUGUAACAAAACAUGGCCUCCUCUGCUCUCCUGGGACCGUCCUGGUGAGAGAGAGAGAGAGAGAGAGAGAGAGAGAGAGAGAGAGAGAGAGAGAGAGAGAGAGAGAGAGUGGGGGUGGUGGGGCUCGUGGGGAAGGGAUAGAGAUGGGGAGAAUCGAAGUCAGUUUCCAGGGAGGUAAUAGAGAAGGGGACUUUUUAUGCAAGAGGGGCACUGGUCAAAGGCAACAAAAUAUAUACCUAUGAAAAGAAAGAGCCAAAAAAGUUUAACACAAAUGAGAGAAGUGUCUUGAGACCUCGCUCUCGAAAGAAUUCAAUUUAUAGGAAGGGGGAAAUACAGAAGCAGGCAGGGAGUUCCAGAGUUUACCAGAAAAAGGGAUGAAAGAUUGAAAAUACUGGUUAACUUUUGCAUUAGAGAGGUGGACAGAAUAGGGGUGAGCAAAAGUAGAAAGUCGUGUGCAACGAGGGCGCGGGAGGAUGGAAGGCAUGCAGUUAGCAAGAUCAGAAGAACAGUUGACGAGAAAAUAUCGAUAGAAGAUAGCAGGAGAUGCGACAUUGCGGGGAAGAGAGAGAGGCUGAAGACAUUCAGUUAGAGGAGAGGAGCUGGUAAGACGAAAGGCUGGUCUGGUCUGGGGGGACAGUCUCGUUAGGGGGACAGUAACCUGAUGAAGCGAGCAAACACGCGGUUCAAGAUUGUCCCAGAAACGAGUAAUCAUUGGUGACCGUCCUUAGCUCGGGACAGGACCAUCAGCUGGGCGGCGGCGGUAGUGGUGGCGACGGCGGUUGUGGUGGUAAGGUUAUACGAAGAGGAAGAAAAGGAAGAGAAGUAAAAGGAAAAGCCAGAGGAGGAGAAAGAAAAAUAGAAGAAGGCGCGAGAGAAGGAGAUGAGGAGGAGAAGGAGGAAAGCGCUAUAGAAGAAAGAAGAGCACCUCCCGCCUCGCGCCUUCCUUCCUCCCGUCUCCCGGAGUGUACACACCUGCACUCUUGAGGCUGCUGGCGAGAAGAACUGUGUCCCAAGCCCUCCACCAUGGCCGCCGCUCCGAAAGUUUGCGUCCGUCGCGCGAAGCUCAUCUUCCUGAUGGAGAACGCAGGCAAGGACGUCUUGACCUUCGUGUUGAAGCGCGGCGCGCUGAACGCCCCCGCCACGCCGCCAGGCCAGUCCCUCAUUGACUACCUUGACAACCUCCCUCAAGGCUCGACAGCCAACUAUGGCAGGAUGAGUAACAAACAAAAGAAAGCAGCACUGAACCACAGUUCAGUGCUGCUUAUCCUCUGACGUGACUACUUUAUUCAUUAUUUUUU